ACCGGCGCCACGAGUGGUCAUCACGAUUAUUGGGCCUAAAGCGUCCGUAGCUGGUGCGGUGCAUCCCUUGUGAAAUCGUUCGGCUUAACCGAACGGCGCGCAGGGGACACGGCCGCGCUCGAGACCGGGAGGGGGCAGAAGUAUUCCAUAGGGACCGGUAAAAUGGGAUAAUCUAUGGAGGACUACCGAUGGCGAAGGCAUCUGCCCAGAACGGAUCUGACAGUGAGGGACGAAAGCCAGGGGAGCGAACCGGA
rnacentral:rRNA from 1 species